rnacentral:rRNA from 1 species
ACUGAACGCUGGCGGCAGGCUUAACACAUGCAAGUCGAACGAUGACUCUCUAGCUUGCUAGAGAAGAUUAGUGGCGGACGGGUGAGUAACAUUUAGGAAUCUGCCUAGUAGUGGGGGAUAGCUCGGGGAAACUCGAAUUAAUACCGCAUACGACCUACGGGUGAAAGGGGGCGCAAGCUCUUGCUAUUAGAUGAGCCUAAAUCAGAUUAGCUAGUUGGUGGGGUAAAGGCCCACCAAGGCGACGAUCUGUAACUGGUCUGAGAGGAUGAUCAGUCACACCGGAACUGAGACACGGUCCAGACUCCUACGGGAGGCAGCAGUGGGGAAUAUUGGACAAUGGGGGCAACCCUGAUCCAGCCAUGCCGCGUGUGUGAAGAAGGCCUUUUGGUUGUAAAGCACUUUAAGCAGGGAGGAGAGGCUAAUGGUUAAUACCCAUUAGAUUAGACGUUACCUGCAGAAUAAGCACCGGCUAACUCUGUGCCAGCAGCCGCGGUAAUACAGAGGGUGCGAGCGUUAAUCGGAAUUACUGGGCGUAAAGCGAGUGUAGGUGGCUCAUUAAGUCACAUGUGAAAUCCCCGGGCUUAACCUGGGAACUGCAUGUGAUACUGGUGGUGCUAGAAUAUGUGAGAGGGAAGUAGAAUUCCAGGUGUAGCGGUGAAAGGCGUAGAGAUCUGGAGGAAUACCGAUGGCGAAGGCAGCUUCCUGGCAUAAUAUUGACACUGAGAUUCGAAAGCGUGGGUAGCAAACAGGAUUAGAUACCCUGGUAGUCCACGCCGUAAACGAUGUCUACUAGCCGUUGGGGUCCUUGAGACUUUAGUGGCGCAGUUAACGCGAUAAGUAGACCGCCUGGGGAGUACGGCCGCAAGGUUAAAACUCAAAUGAAUUGACGGGGGCCCGCACAAGCGGUGGAGCAUGUGGUUUAAUUCGAUGCAACGCGAAGAACCUUACCUGGUCUUGACAUAGUGAGAAUCCUGCAGAGAUGCGGGAGUGCCUUCGGGAAUUCACAUACAGGUGCUGCAUGGCUGUCGUCAGCUCGUGUCGUGAGAUGUUGGGUUAAGUCCCGCAACGAGCGCAACCCUUUUCCUUAUUUGCCAGCGGGUUAAGCCGGGAACUUUAAGGAUACUGCCAGUGACAAACUGGAGGAAGGCGGGGACGACGUCAAGUCAUCAUGGCCCUUACGACCAGGGCUACACACGUGCUACAAUGGUAGGUACAGAGGGUUGCUACACAGCGAUGUGAUGCUAAUCUCAAAAAGCCUAUCGUAGUCCGGAUUGGAGUCUGCAACUCGACUCCAUGAAGUCGGAAUCGCUAGUAAUCGCAGAUCAGAAUGCUGCGGUGAAUACGUUCCCGGGCCU